rnacentral:rRNA from 15 species
GUUUGAUCCUGGCUCAGGAUGAACGCUAGCUACAGGCUUAACACAUGCAAGUCGAGGGGAAACGGCAUUGAGUGCUUGCACUCUUUGGACGUCGACCGGCGCACGGGUGAGUAACGCGUAUCCAACCUUCCCAUUACUGUGGGAUAACCUGCCGAAAGGCAGACUAAUACCGCAUAGUCUUCGAUGACGGCAUCAGAUUUGAAGUAAAGAUUUAUCGGUAAUGGAUGGGGAUGCGUCUGAUUAGCUUGUUGGCGGGGUAACGGCCCACCAAGGCAACGAUCAGUAGGGGUUCUGAGAGGAAGGUCCCCCACAUUGGAACUGAGACACGGUCCAAACUCCUACGGGAGGCAGCAGUGAGGAAUAUUGGUCAAUGGACGGAAGUCUGAACCAGCCAAGUAGCGUGCAGGAUGACGGCCCUAUGGGUUGUAAACUGCUUUUGUAUGGGGAUAAAGUUAGGGACGUGUCCCUAUUUGCAGGUACCAUACGAAUAAGGACCGGCUAAUUCCGUGCCAGCAGCCGCGGUAAUACGGAAGGUCCAGGCGUUAUCCGGAUUUAUUGGGUUUAAAGGGAGCGUAGGCUGGAGAUUAAGUGUGUUGUGAAAUGUAGACGCUCAACGUCUGAAUUGCAGCGCAUACUGGUUUCCUUGAGUACGCACAACGUUGGCGGAAUUCGUCGUGUAGCGGUGAAAUGCUUAGAUAUGACGAAGAACUCCGAUUGCGAAGGCAGCUGACGGGAGCGCAACUGACGCUUAAGCUCGAAGGUGCGGGUAUCAAACAGGAUUAGAUACCCUGGUAGUCCACGCCGUAAACGAUGAGUGCUAGGUGUUGGGGGGUUUCCGCCCCUCAGUGCCGGAGUUAACGUAUUAAGCACUCCGCCUGGGGAGUACGACCGCAAGGUUGAAACUCAAAGGAAUUGACGGGGACCCGCACAAGCGGUGGAGCAUGUGGUUUAAUUCGAAGCAACGCGAAGAACCUUACCAGCUCUUGACAUCUUCUGCCAACCUAAGAGAUUAGGUGUUCCCUUCGGGGACAGAAUGACAGGUGGUGCAUGGUUGUCGUCAGCUCGUGUCGUGAGAUGUUGGGUUAAGUCCCAUAACGAGCGCAACCCUUAUUGUUAGUUGCCAGCAUUCAGUUGGGCACUCUAGCGAGACUGCCGGUGAUAAACCGGAGGAAGGUGGGGAUGACGUCAAAUCAUCAUGCCCCUUAUGAGCUGGGCUACACACGUGCUACAAUGGACGCCACAACGAGUAGCGAGACUGCAAAGUUUAGCGAAUCUUUCAAAGGCGUUCUCAGUUCGGAUUGUUCUCUGCAACUCGAGAGCAUGAAGCCGGAAUCGCUAGUAAUCGCGGAUCAGCAUGCCGCGGUGAAUACGUUCCCAGGUCUUGUACACACCGCCCGUCACACCACGAGAGUUUGUAACACCCGAAGCCGGUUGGCCAACCUUUUAGGAGGCCGCUGUCGAAGGUGGGAUGGAUGAUUGGGGUGAAGUCGUAACAAGGUAGCCGUACCGGAAGGUGCGGCUGGAUCACCUCCUU